rnacentral:rRNA from 1 species
GAUGAACGCUGGCGGCGUGCCUAAUACAUGCAAGUCGAGCGAACGGACGAGAAGCUUGCUUCUCUGAUGUUAGCGGCGGACGGGUGAGUAACACGUGGAUAACCUACCUAUAAGACUGGGAUAACUUCGGGAAACCGGAGCUAAUACCGGAUAAUAUUUUGAACCGCAUGGUUCAACAGUGAAAGACGGUCUUGCUGUCACUUAUAGAUGGAUACGCGCUGCAUUAGCUAGUUGGUAAGGUAACGGCUUACCAAGGCAACGAUGCAUAGCCGACCUGAGCGAGUGAUCGGCCACACUGGAACUGAGACGCGGUCCAGACGCCUACGGGAGGCAGCAGUAGGGUAUCUUCCGCAAUAGGCGAAAGCCUGACGGAGCGACGCCGCGGGAGUGAUGAAGAUCUCGGAUCGUAAAACUCUGUUAUUAGGGAAGAACAUAUGUGUAAGUAACUGUGCACAUCUUGACGGUACCUAAUCAGAAAGCCACGGCUAACUACGUG